ACGGAGCAACGCCGCGUGAGUGAUGAAGGUCUUCGGAUCGUAAAACUCUGUUAUUAGGGAAGAACAAACGUGUAAGUAACUGUGCACGUCUUGACGGUACCUAAUCAGAAAGCCACGGCUAACUACGUGCCAGCAGCCGCGGUAAUACGUAGGUGGCAAGCGUUAUCCGGAAUUAUUGGGCGUAAAGCGCGCGUAGGCGGUUUUUUAAGUCUGAUGUGAAAGCCCACGGCUCAACCGUGGAGGGUCAUUGGAAACUGGAAAACUUGAGUGCAGAAGAGGAAAGUGGAAUUCCAUGUGUAGCGGUGAAAUGCGCAGAGAUAUGGAGGAACACCAGUGGCGAAGGCGACUUUCUGGUCUGUAACUGACGCUGAUGUGCGAAAGCGUGGGGAUCAAACAGGAUUAGAUACCCUGGUAGUCCACGCCGUAAACGAUGAGUGCUAAGUGUUAGGGGGUUUCCGCCCCUUAGUGCUGCAGCUAACGCAUUAAGCACUCCGCCUGGGGAGUACGACCGCAAGGUUGAAACUCAAAGGAAAUUUG
rnacentral:rRNA from 1 species